rnacentral:rRNA from 1 species
GACGAACGCUGGCGGCGUGCUUAACACAUGCAAGUCGAGCGGUAAGGCCCUUUCGGGGGUACACGAGCGGCGAACGGGUGAGUAACACGUGGGUGACCUGCCCUCAGCUCUGGGAUAAGCCCGGGAAACUGGGUCUAAUACCGGAUAUGACUCCAUGACGCAUGUUGUGGGGUGGAAAGCCUUGUGCGGCUGAGGAUGGGCCCGCGGCCUAUCAGCUUGUUGGUGGGGUGAUGGCCUACCAAGGCGACGACGGGUAGCCGGCCUGAGAGGGCGACCGGCCACACUGGGGCUGAGAUACGGCCCAGACUCCUACGGGAGGCAGCAGUGGGGAAUCUUGCGCAAUGGGCGAAAGCCUGACGCAGCGACGCCGCGUGAGGGAUGACGG